rnacentral:rRNA from 1 species
CACGUAGGCACCAAGCGUUGUCCGGAUUUAUUGGGCGUAAAGAGCUCGUAGGCGGUUCGGUAAGUCGGGUGUGAAAACUUUGGGCUCAACCCAAAGACUGCACCCGAUACUGCUGUGACUUGAGUCCGGUAGGGGAGUGGGGAAUUCCUGGUGUAGCGGUGGAAUGCGCAGAUAUCAGGAAGAACACCGGUGGCGAAAGCGCUCUGCUAGGCCGCAACUGACACUGAGGGACGAAAGCUAGGGGAGCGAAUGGG